rnacentral:rRNA from 1 species
UACGAAGGGGGCUAGCGUUGCUCGGAAUCACUGGGCGUAAAGCGCACGUAGGCGGAUUGCUAAGUCAGGGGUGAAAUCCUGGAGCUCAACUCCAGAACUGCCUUUGAUACUGAAGAUCUUGAGUUCGGGAGAGGUGAGUGGAACUGCGAGUGUAGAGGUGAAAUUCGUAGAUAUUCGCAAGAACACCAGUGGCGAAGGCGGCUCACUGGCCCGAUACUGACGCUGAGGCACGAAAGCGUGGGGGAGCAAACAGG